AGAGGCAGUGGGUUCAAACUACAGCAUAGCAGAUUUAGAUUAAAUCACAAGAAAAACUUCCUAACUGUAAAAACAGUAGGACAACGGAACAGACUGCCCCGGGAGGUUAUGGAAGCUUCUUCACUGCAAGUUUUCAGAAAGAGGCUGGAUAGCCAUCUGUCUUGUAUGGUUUAGGCACAACAAAUCCUGCAUCUUGGCAGGGGGUUAGACUAGAUGACCCGUGCGGUCCCUUCUAAUCCUAUGAUUCUAUGAAAUACUAGAAUCCACUCAGCCUCAAUUUUUAUCUAACUAAAGAACAAACAAAUCUGUAAGCCAUUUAACAAUAGGAUUGAUUUCCUUCCAUCUUUAUUUUUGCUCGUGAACUGGGUUUUUAACAAGACCAGAGUCACACAUGGAGUGUCUGCUUGCAUACCUUAUGCCUGAGAUAUGAAGAGUGAAAAUGUCUGGGCCACUGGAUUCAUAGCACUAAAGGGGUUUGUCACUGAUGAUCAAAGAAACAAAACACUUGUUCUGAUGAGCAUCAAUCUGUAUCCAUGUUUUGUGCUUUUGGACCUCCUCCAACAUCAAUCAUGAAUAUCCUGAUUUUAGGAGUCAAGAUAGACAUUCUGCUGCUAAAGCAAAACUUGUAAGGUCCAUCCACGUGAGCAGCCAGGGUGUAGAACGGGGUAAAGGAGUUGGCCCCAAAAAAAAGGCAAUCACAGAAUAAAACAGUGAACAUUAGAGCAAACGGACUUCUUAUUUUAUUGUAAAUAGUGGCUUUCCAAAUAAAGCAAGUUAAUACACAGAAUCAUUGUUUAGUUCCAUUAUCAUAAAUUCCAGGCUAUUUGCAUGCUUGUACAUGUAUAUAUAAAA